CCUACGGGAGGCAGCAGUAGGGAAUAUUGCUCAAUGGGGGAAACCCUGAAGCAGCAACGCCGCGUGGAGGAUGAAGGUUUUCGGAUUGUAAACUCCUUUUGUUAGAGAAGAUAAUGACGGUAUCUAACGAAUAAGGCCCGGCUAACUCCGUGCCAGCAGCCGCGGUAAUACGGAGGGUGCAAGCGUUACUCGGAAUGACUGGGCGUAAAGAGCGCGUAGGCGGGAUAGCAAGUCAGAUGUGAAAUCCUAUGGCUUAACCAUAGAACUGCAUUUGAAACUGUUAUUCUAGAGUAUGGGGGAGGUAGGUGGAAUUCUUGGUGUAGGGGUAAAAUGCGUAGAGAUCAAGAGGAAUACUCAUUGCGAAGGCGACCUGCUAGAACGUAACUGACGCUGAGGCGCGAAAGCGUGGGGAGCAAACAGGAUUAGAUACCCGUGUAGUC
rnacentral:rRNA from 1 species